AAAGAGCUUUGAGUACUUGUCAUGAGUCUCACGGGUCCUCCUUCCUCUUCCACGCCACAAUAUGACAGAGGCGGGUUUUUGAAAACCCUAUUCAUCUUUCUCAUAGGGAAAAAACGCUUAGACAUGGAAACCGUACGAGGACUACAGAAUGACGCACGACUUCAGUGGUCUAUUCCCUGAAUGGUUUAAUCAUAUUAUGGGCUGUUGAGAGAAAAAUAUGCAUAUCUCUUGCAGUCUUUUUUGAGGAACAUUGUUUUUAAACAUUUCAGUCAUUUUCUCACACAUUUGUUACAAACUAUUUGCUUUUCAGAGAUACAUAAUGAAAUAAAAUUGAACAGAUAAAGCAUAUAUUAGUUUGGGUUCAUAAUGUCUGCAAUCGAAAUAAAGACUAAAUGUAAGAAACAUUGAAUUUUAAUCCCAUGUUGUCCUAACUUUUUUUUUUUUUUUUUUACCAGUUGUGGGGCUGUAAUUCCUGCGUUUAACUGACUUUUUUUUUUAUUUGUCCCUCAUAAGGCAAUUGACUGUCAAAAUAUUAAAUGAUUAUUGUUGCUCCAAGAAUACACACAUUCAAAUGAACGUAAUGUUUGGUAAGUUUAUUAAUUACAUAUAUGAACAACAUAAACACAGAUCUCACAAUCACUCCCAGCUAACGGAGAAUGUUAUAAGAAGGUUCAACAAGGAUUUAAAAAUGUUCCAGCAAGGUUAGCCUGUAAUGUCACAGUUAUAAUGUUCUAGGAAUGUCCUGAAAACGUGUGACACAUUAAAUGUUUGCAUCACAGCAUUAAUAGAACAUUUCUCACAUAACGUUCCCAGAAAGAGGAUUACUAACAUUAUGGAAAUGUUAAAAGUAAAACAUUGACAAAAGUGAUGUUGCAGAAACAUUAGAUGAACGUUUAAAAAUGUUAAAUAAAAAGAGCAUCCAGAAAAUUGUUAUCCGGAAUGAUAUUAAUCUUGUUCUUAUGGUUAGGUGUUUUGUUGUCUUUGUUGUUUCAGAAACGCUGAUAACCACACGGCUGUUCUUCUUCCUGCUGCCUCUGAAAGUGAUUUUCACAGCAGGGCUGAAAAACCACGGC
rnacentral:lncRNA from 1 species